GGAAGACAUUCCAGAAAUAACUGCGGCAUUUAGCACUGAUUUCUGUUCUCCUUCACUACGCUGGCAUGCUGUCUGACAGGACGUGAGACUGCAGAGAAGCCAACCUCACAGCAAAGUCAUGCUUGCAUUGGCCACAACUGUUUGUAAGCAGUGCCAGAAAAUACUGUGUUGCUUAGCCCUGAGAUUCUUCAGGAGCAGGUCACCCCUGUGAGAAGAUCACCUUCCCAUCCUGUGGGUAUCCACCUCUUCAUGGCUUAUUCCUAAAAGUCUGAAGACUCUAAAUUUAAACGUUUUUCUUCAUUUAUUCCUAAAUGAAGAUAUUCUCCUCAUUUAAGAAACUGCUUAUUUUGACAAAAUCAGGAGAGAUUUUAUGCAUUAUAUUCAUAAAUAAAUCUCUCUAUGUUGAUGAAGAAAAGUUAAAAAUUUUAAAUGACAUCUGUAGCAGCCCUCAGCGCAGUUUCUCAUCCGUGAAAACUCAGAGAAAGAAGAAAAUUCUCAACGCUGACAACCACGACUGAAGACAACCUCGUGUUUCGAUUAAAGGUUUGCAAAAACGUUGCUGACUACAGGGCAGGUGAUGAUUAAUAGAGGAAAACCAAUCCUGGAAACACUGGCUGAUGGAGAGAGCGCCAGAGGAAGGGGAGGAUAGUUAUUCCUCUUUGCCCAUGUGCCUGCUGUCUCAGAGACCCAGAAUCUUCACCAACCAUAAGUCUAAGAGCACGAGAAUGAGGAAUCAUGGCACAAAAGGAUGAGUGAAUGUUGUAGAGAUUGUUUCAGCCUGACUUUGAUCUCCACUGCAAGAAUGAACUGAAUUCAAUAAUAGAGGGAAUUGCAAUGCACAUCGGACCCCAAGGGGAUCAGCCCAUCCUUUAGUGGAGGGCUCCUGCCUCACUUCACACUGAAAUUUAAACUCCUUCUCUGGUCCCUGGUAACUACAGCUCUGGAGUCACAGGACCAGACAACUGGGAUCCAUGAAGGCAUCUCAGGACUCACCGUCCACUCCCUCACUUCCCAGGGAGGACACUGGUCACCCACAGGGAUUAUGUGAUUUGUCCAAGGUGACAGCACAAGUCAGUGUCAAGAUGCCCACUCUCCUAUAGUCCUAGUCACUGUCCUGCCCAGCUUGCUGCCUCUCUUGAGACUUUGAGAAGGAGCACAAGGCCAUGCCAAUUUCCAUGCUCAGCACAAACACUCACACCACCCCCACUGCUCUCCAGGGAUCACUCACACAGAACCUCAGCCAGUACCUACACACUGCUAACAGACUCCCACAAAUGUGAGGCAGCUGAACUCAGCUUCCCACGAGCACUCAGCAGAGGGAAGACCAUAGGAAACUGUGAGAGUCUAGUUGGCUGCCAAUUUAUUAAUAUGUUGUAGGACUUCAACAAUAGAAUCUCAUCCUCAGACUCAAGCUACACAUGGAUGCCUCCCUCCAAUAAGCCAUGGUGCUACAUUCAGUGCCUCUUACCCUGCUGUGCAUCACGGGAUGAGGACAUCAGAGCCAGGUUCCAGCCCAGUGUCCAUCACUAACCUCACCCUGGAAGAGUAAUAAGAAUCAUCUCACCUCUCCUGGCAUCCAUCUCCUCCCCUGUGGAAUGUUAUGUGGUCACCUGGAUAAUAUCUAGGGUGCCAGUAUCACUAUUCUAGGCUUCCGUGAUGGUAAACAAGGGCUUGGGAAGAAGGAAGCUAGUGAUGACUAUGAAGACAGCCCAAGAGAUACACAGGACUCUCUCAAGGCAACGUACAUUUCCUGGGUGAGAAACCAGGCUCCAGGCAGAGAACACAUCUUUUCCUUAAUUGUAAUAAAAACCAGGGAGACGUGGUCUAUUUUUCAUGCACCUUCAAAGCCACUGGUGCACACAAAACUAAUAGCACCUGCUUCAAACAGCAGCAGCUCUUUGACCUCCAGCCUAAUUAGCGCAUUUCUCCAGUGAAACCAUCUGGACAGGGUCCGCCCUGGCUCAUUUCCUUCAUUAACAAAUCUUCCAAGUGGCAACAGAAGUCUCCUGUGUUGGCGCCAACCUUACAGGCACACCUCACGGCUGACAGGGCCCGAAGUGUGGUGGCAUUUUUCAUUUUCUAAUCAAAGGGGUCAGCGUAAAUGGGUGUUGGCAGUUGACGGCUGCAGCUGUCUGAUGUGUCAACUCCUUGCCACACAGAGUUUCUAAUAAAUGGUGCUGGAAAAAUAAUUCACCCCUCAGCUUUCUGUCACAGCGGCUAUGGUGGGAGAUCCUUGGGUGGCCGCUUUCCUGUCCCACUUAUUUGUGCAAGAGGUGGGGAGUGUGUACAUGUAGACACAGUUACAUCCAUGCAUAAACACUCAUGCACAGGAAUGGGAUGGAGGAGCCCUGCAUUACUGUGGUCGUGUUUUUAGUACUCAACCCUGAAAACCAAGGAGAGUGGGUGGGGAGGGACACCAGCAUCUGCUAAUACUUAACGCGAGCAUGGAAGCCACUAAAAGAUGUGGAGGAGGGCAGCUCUUGAAGCUGCUGGUGGCCCUCUGUCCUCAUGCACAGGUGAUAAGAAUGACAGGGGUCCAGCACCUGGUCAGGCCAGGGCAGGGCAUGCUUAACUGGAAGUCCACAUGGGUCGCAGAAGGCAGGGAGACACAAAAUGCUGUGGCUGCAGCAUCCAGAGAAGCCCAUCCAUCUUAACCUCAGAUCCAAGCUGAGGGGCUAUCAAGAAAGGAAAGGAUUGUAAAAUAGCUCAUUCUUUGCUCACAGAACCUCAGCACACAAAGAGAGAACCAAGUACUCAAACUAGAGAAAGUAUCAUGAACACGGUAAAGAAAUACUCCCAAAGAAGGAGAAGGGCCUGAGUUAAUCUUUCAGAACUUCUUGGAAGAAGUAACCCUACCUAGCAAUGCUGGGAAGAAACACUAUACUUGCAGUCAACUUGAAAUUAGUACAGUAGUCCCCCCUUAUCCAUGGUUUUAGUUACCCAGGGUCAACUGUAGUCCAAAAAUAUUAAGUGAAAAAUUCCAGAAACAAACAAUUUAUAAGUUUUAAAUUGCAUAACAUUCUGAGUAGCAAGAUGAAAUCUCAUGCUUCAUUGUUCAGUCCCAUCCAGGAUGGGAAUCAUCCCUUGGUCUGGGAGAUUCACACUGUAAGCCCUGCCUACCUACCCUGAGUCACU
rnacentral:lncRNA from 1 species